GUGCUUGCUUCAGCAACACAUACACUAAAAUUGGAACAAUACAGAUUAGCAUGGCCCCUACACAAGAAUGACACGCAAAUUCCUGAAGCAUUCCAUAUUUUU